rnacentral:rRNA from 1 species
AUUGAACGCUGGCGGCAGGCCUAACACAUGCAAGUCGAGCGGCAGCGGGAAAGUAGCUUGCUACUUUUGCCGGCGAGCGGCGGACGGGUGAGUAAUGCCUGGGGAUCUGCCCAGUCGAGGGGGAUAACUACUGGAAACGGUAGCUAAUACCGCAUACGCCCUACGGGGGAAAGCAGGGAACCUUCGGGCCUUGCGCGAUUGGAUGAACCCAGGUGGGAUUAGCUAGUUGGUGAGGUAAUGGCUCACCAAGGCGACGAUCCCUAGCUGGUCUGAGAGGAUGAUCAGCCACACUGGAACUGAGACACGGUCCAGACUCCUACGGGAGGCAGCAGUGGGGAAUAUUGCACAAUGGGGGAAACCCUGAUGCAGCCAUGCCGCGUGUGUGAAGAAGGCCUUCGGGUUGUAAAGCACUUUCAGCGAGGAGGAAAGGUUGGUAGCUAAUAACUGCCAGCUGUGACGUUACUCGCAGAAGAAGCACCGGCUAACUCUGUGCCAGCAGCCGCCGUAACAC